ensembl:snRNA U6 U6 spliceosomal RNA
UUGCUCCUGCAACAAAUAUACUAAAAUUGGAAUGAUACAGAGAAAGCUAGCAUGCCCCUGCCCAAGGAUGACAUGCAGAUUUGUGAAGGGUUCCAUAUAUAU